CUGGGAUUAGAUACCCUGUUAUUUUAAAUUAAAAAAGAAAAUUUUAGAAAAUUAAUAGAAAAUCUUUAAAUUUAAAAAAUUUGGCGGUAUUUAAAUUUAUUUAGAGGAACUUGUAGUUUAAUUUGAUAAUACCCGAGAAUCUUACUUAAUUUAUUUAAUUUGUAUAUCGUUGUUAUAAUGAUUAUCUUAAAAAAGAAUUAAAUUUUCUAAAUUUUGUAUUAUAAAUUUAUAUCAAAUCAAGGUGCAGUUUAUAAUUAAGGAUUUAAUGAGUUACAAUAAAUAAUAUUUAUUAUGAAUUAAAAUUUUAAAUAAUUUUAUGAAGGUGGAUUUAAAUGUAAAUUUAUUUAUAUAAAUUAAUUUGAUAAUUAAAUUUAAAUAUGUACAAAUCGCCCG
rnacentral:rRNA from 1 species